AUUGAACGCUGGCGGCAUGCUUUACACAUGCAAGUCGAACGGUAACAGGUUAAGCUGACGAGCGGCGAACGGGUGAGUAAUGCAUCGGAACGUGCCCGAUCGUGGGGGAUAACACUUCGAAAGAAGUGCUAAUACCGCAUACGAUCUGAGGAUGAAAGCGGGGGACCGUAAGGCCUCGCGCGAUCGGAGCGGCCGAUGUCAGAUUAGGUAGUUGGUGGGGUAAAGGCUCACCAAGCCGACGAUCUGUAGCUGGUCUGAGAGGACGACCAGCCACACUGGGACUGAGACACGGCCCAGACUCCUACGGGAGGCAGCAGUGGGGAAUUUUGGACAAUGGGCGCAAGCCUGAUCCAGCAAUGCCGCGUGCAGGAAGAAGGCCUUCGGGUUGUAAACUGCUUUUGUACGGAGCGAAAAGGCUCCCUCUAAUACAGGGGGCUCAUGACGGUACCGGGAGAAUAAGCUCCGGCUAACUCCGUGCCAGCCGCCGCCGUAA
rnacentral:rRNA from 1 species